CCUACGGGAGGCAGCAGUGGGGAAUAUUGCUCAAUGGGGGCAACCCUGAAGCAGCAACGCCGCGUGGAGGAUGAAGGUUUUCGGAUUGUAAACUCCUUUUGUUAGAGAAGAUAAUGACGGUAUCUAACCACUCAGCACCGGCUAACUCCGUGCCAGCAGCCGCGGUAAUACGGAGGGUGCAAGCGUUACUCGGAAUCACUGGGCGGAAAGAGCGCGUAGGCUGGAUAGCAAGUCAGAUGUGAAAUCCUAUGGCUUAACCAUAGAACUGCAUUUGAAACUGGUAGUCUAGAGUAUGGGAGAGGUAGGUGGAAUUCUUGGUGUAGGGGUAAAAUCCGUAGAGAUCAAGAGGAAUACUCAUUGCGAAGGCGACCUGCUAGAACAUAACUGACGCUGAGGCGCGAAAGCGUGGGGAGCAAACAGGAUUAGAUACCCCAGUAGUC
rnacentral:rRNA from 1 species